GACGAACGCUGGCGGCGUGCUUAACACAUGCAAGUCGAACGGAAAGGCCCGGCUUUUGUGGGGCGCACGAGAGGCGAACGGGUGAGUAACACGUGAGGAACCCGCCCUUGACUUUGGGAUAACUUUUGGAAAAUGGGGCCAAUACCGGAUAUGAGCUCCUGCUGCACGGGGGGGGUCGGAAAGUGUCGGCGGUUGGGGAUGGACUCGCGGCUUAUGAGCUUGAUGGUGGGGUAGGGGCUUACCAAGGCUUUGACGGGUAGCCGGCCUGAGAGGGUGACCGGCCACAUUGGGACUGCGAUACGGACCAGACGCCUACGGGAGGCAGAGGUGGGGAAUAUUGCACAAUGGGCGGAAGCCUGAUGCAGCAACGCCGCGUGCGGGAUGACGGCCUUCGGGUUGUAAACCGCUUUCGCCUGUGACGAAGCGUGAGUGACGGUAAUGGGUAAAGAAGCACCGGCUAACUACGUG
rnacentral:rRNA from 1 species